rnacentral:rRNA from 1 species
GUACACGCUGUGACUAGCAUAUCAAUAAGCGGAGGAAAAGAAACUAACAAGGAUUCCCCUAGUAACGGCGAGUGAAGCGGGAAGAGCUCAAAUUUGAAAUCUUAAAGGGUUUCCCUUUACGAAUUGUAGUUUAAAGAAGUGUUUUCUGUUGAGGUUUUGGUAAAAGUUCUUUGGAAUAGGACAUCAUAGAGGGUGAGAAUCCCGUAUUUGACCUUUACUUUCAACUUUGUGAUACACUUUCAAAGAGUCGGAUUGUUUGGGAAUGCAGUCCAAAAUGGGUGGUAAAUUUCAUCUAAAGCUAAAUAUUGGCGAGAGACCGAUAGCGAACAAGUACCGUGAGGGAAAGAUGAAAAGAACUUUGAAAAGAGAGUUAAACAGUACGUGAAAUUGUCAAAAGGGAAGCGCUUGACACCAGUGUUGUUUUUCUGAAAAUCAAUUAAAGAACUGUUUAUGCUAAGUUGUUUAGACUUUAUCAGCUAACUGUUUAGUUUUGAGCUUUUCUUUAAUGCACUUUUCAGUUAACAAGUCAACAUCAAUUUCUUUUGCUGUAAAAAGCUUGAGGAAGGUGGCUUGAGAUUCGUCUUAAGUGUUUAUAGCCUCUUGCCUAUGCAGUUGGAGAGAUUGAGGUCUGCAGCGUAGAUCCUUCGGGGCUAAAUGCAUUUGUGCUAAGUUAUAGCAUUUUAUAGACAACUUGUUGACUAUGAUUUGUCUUGUAGCUUACUCGCUUAUGUUAUUUUACCUACGCUUAGGAUGUUGACUGAUAUGUAGUCGUA